rnacentral:rRNA from 1 species
GACGAACGCUGGCGGCGUGCUUAACACAUGCAAGUCGAACGGAAAGGCCCUGCUUGUGUGGGGUGCUCGAGUGGCGAACGGGUGAGUAACACGUGAGUAACCUGCCCUGGACUUUGGGAUAACCUCAGGAAACUGGGGCUAAUACCGGAUAGGAGCUCCUGCUGCAGGGGGGGGGUUGGAAAGUUUCGGCGGUUGGGGAUGGACUCGCGGCUUAUCAGCUGGUUGGUGGGGUAGUGGCUUACCAAGGCUUUGACGGGUAGCCGGCCUGAGAGGGUGGCCGGCCACCUUGGGACUGCGGUACGGCCCAGACUCCUACGGGAGGCAGCAGUGGGGAAUAUUGCACAAUGGGCGGGAGCCUGAUGAAGCAGCGCCGCGUGCGGGAUGACGGCCUUCGGGUUGUAAACCGCUUUCGCCUGUGACGAAGCGUGAGUGACGGUACUGGGUAAAGAAGCACCGGCUAACUACGUG